rnacentral:lncRNA from 1 species
GCAGGGGCUGCAAUCGAAGCCCAAAGGUCGUCAUCAGCUGAUCCACCAGAUUUCAGAUUCAUAGGCUUUGAUGAUGAUUUUGGAACGGAGGCAGAUAUAGCACCCCAAGGGUCAUCGUUGCCAACUAUGCUUGUUCUUGAGUUCGAAGGUUUUGACUUGGAUUUUGGAGCAGUGUUGGCAGUUGAGCCCCACAAGUCAUCUUCUUCAUCUUUACGCGUCUUUGAUGAUGAUUUUGGAAUGGGGGCAGAUAUAGCACCCCAAGGGUCAUCGUCGUCAACUAUGCUUGUUCUUGAGUUCGAAGGUUUUGACUUGGAUUUCGGAGCAGGGUUGGCAGUUGAGCCCCACAAGUCAUCGUCUUCAUCUUUACGCGUCUUUAAUGAGCUUUUUGGUCUCGAACUCGAAACUGAAUCAUAAUGGAAUGUCCAGUAAGUUGAAAGUUUUAUUAUAUUAUAGUAAGAAAAGAACACCAUUAGCAAGAAAAUGACCCGAGCACAUGGAAAGGAAGGACUCGACAAGCAACUCUUCCUGAAUCUUUAGCAGCCUCUAAUUUCUUAAAUAAUAUUAUUACUACAAAUCUCUAAUUGCCAUAUACUAAUACAAGUAAUCAUUAUC